UGCAGUCGAACGAUGAAGCCCUUCGGGGUGGAUUAGUGGCGAACGGGUGAGUAACACGUGGGCAAUCUGCCCUUCACUCUGGGACAAGCCCUGGAAACGGGGUCUAAUACCGGAUAACACUCUGUCCCGCAUGGGACGGGGUUGAAAGCUCCGGCGGUGAAGGAUGAGCCCGCGGCCUAUCAGCUUGUUGGUGGGGUGAUGGCCUACCAAGGCGACGACGGGUAGCCGGCCUGAGAGGGCGACCGGCCACACUGGGACUGAGACACGGCCCAGACUCCUACGGGAGGCAGCAGUGGGGAAUAUUGCACAAUGGGCGAAAGCCUGAUGCAGCGACGCCGCGUGAGGGAUGACGGCCUUCGGGUUGUAAACCUCUUUCAGCAGGGAAGAAGCGAGAGUGACGGUACCUGCAGAAGAAGCGCCGGCUAACUACGUGCCAGCAGCCGCGGUAAUACGUAGGGCGCAAGCGUUGUCCGGAAUUAUUGGGCGUAAAGAGCUCGUAGGCGGCUUGUCACGUCGGAUGUGAAAGCCCGGGGCUUAACCCCGGGUCUGCAUUCGAUACGGGCAGGCUAGAGUGUGGUAGGGGAGAUCGGAAUUCCUGGUGUAGCGGUGAAAUGCGCAGAUAUCAGGAGGAACACCGGUGGCGAAGGCGGAUCUCUGGGCCAUUACUGACGCUGAGGAGCGAAAGCGUGGGGAGCGAACAGGAUUAGAUACCCUGGUAGUCCACGCCGUAAACGUUGGGAACUAGGUGUUGGCGACAUUCCACGUCGUCGGUGCCGCAGCUAACGCAUUAAGUUCCCCGCCUGGGGAGUACCGCGCAAGGCUAAAACUCAAAGGAUUGACGGGGCCCGCACAA
rnacentral:rRNA from 1 species